GGGAAAAGAGAGAAAGAUGAAGAGAGUAUAUUUGCAGCAGUGGCAGGUGAGGAAACUGCAAUUCACAAAGGUUAAGUGAUUUGUCAACAUCAUCCAGCAAGUGACUGACAACACUGGGAUUUGAAUGGAGCUCUGACUGGUUUGCCUGUUGUCGGCUCAGCCCCGAGAGAAGCACACUGGGCCCACAAAGCUUCCUUUCCAGCUGAGGCUUAGAGGUUGGCCAAUCCAACCUGGAAUCUUGUGCUUCUUUGCCAAACGACGCAGGUGCUCCGGUGGGUCCAGGCCCAUGACUUCGUUGAGUACACAUCCCUGGGAGCAGCAGCCACUAAGAGGUGAUUCUUUGGCCACUACCCAAUUGGGCAACUGCUCGUCUCAGUACAGAACCUGCUUCCCCCUGCUUAUACCUUUUAAAAAGCAUGUUGUUAGGUUCAUACAAAUUUAGAAUUGUUCUAUCUUCCUGGUAAAUUGGAUUUUUAUCAUUAUGAAAUGACCACCCCUCUCCAUUAUGAGAUAUUUUGGGCUUUAAAGUCUAUUUUAUUCUGUAACGAAUCUAGCCAUGUCAGCUUUCUUUUGUUUAGUAUUUGUAUAACAUGCUUUUUCUA